rnacentral:lncRNA from 1 species
AACCCUAAAAACCAAAAAGAUUCCCUGCAUAUUUUCAUUCUAAAGUUUACUAAAAAGCAUACUAGUUCUCUUUUAAAAAGGAUUCUAUUUUCAUUAGGUUUUCUGGGCUCUAAGUCUGAAAUAGAGUUGGUCAUUGGAGAUGUGGUUUGUUUUGCUAAUUUGGUGUUGUGCUUCCUACGGAUUCUUCAUCUUGUUUUGACACUCAGAUUUUCCUUUUUCUUGUUGCUGUAACCAGGUAUUACACCCUACCAUGAAAUGCAAAACUGAAACAUAUUGGCUGGAUGAUUGAAAUAAUAGAUCUAUAUAUUUUUUUAUUUAGAACACCAUCUUGUUUUUCUUUUUGUUCUCUUCUUCUUCUUCUUCUGUUUAAAAUUCUCAUGUCAUUAUGUAAAGUGAAAGCUAUUUUUGUUCACCUCUUAAGUUGAGAGUCAGCAAUGGAGUCCUCAUGUGUACCUAAAGACUGGACUGUUAUUUAGCUUGUAUAUAUGGGACUGUUUUAGAUUUUAAAUGAACAUUGUCAAUACUAUAGCUGGAUUUAUUCUUCACUAGCAUGACUGUAAUGUACACAACACUGGGAAGUUUCAAAAGUUCUGAUUUAGAAUAGAAAUCUCAAUUGAAAAAUCCCUUUACACAUUCUAAAAAUAAGAGUUAGUUUCUUUAUAAGAAAAGGAUACAAACAUCUGUCCUUCAAUCUCCACCGAUUCAAUUUUUGUUUUAAAAUAAAGCUGUUAUUCCACGUUUUCAAAAGUGAUGGGAUUCCAAUUUUUCUUUAGCAUUUGAUGCAUUGUUAAUUAGUUAUGGUCAUUGUAUUGUGCAUUUCUUUGUAAAACUCAUGCAUUUUAGUUUAAGGAUUUUGAUGAUUGCAGUAUUUGAUUGGGAACAUUUAAUAAAAAACCGUACCAUUAAAAAGAAAACUAGACCUGCCGAUGGCCCAGGACAUUUUGGCCAAAUUUGGACCCCUGCUACUCGACUUCCUCUGACCAUGCAUUUGGACCCGAUUUAGGGGGCCUAUUUGACAACAUCUCCACUUUCCUUUUAUUUCGCUUGCUUAAUGCUAUACCGGGCUGCCUUGUGUCCCAGUUUUUUCUCAUCCAAUUAGCACAAACUUGUCUUGACAUUAAGCCCAAGUUCUCGUAACUAAAAACCCAUUUUUGGCCUUAAUUAUUUAAGCCUUCUAAGGUUGAGGUGUGCCAUCUUUCCCUAGAUAACCCAUGGCCCUCAUACAAAUUAUUAACUUAGUAUUAAAAUAAGCUAGAACAAUCGUAAAGUGCUUUAAGCGCGCAAUUAAAUUAUUACAACUAUGGGUAUGGCUCCCGUGACGUGGUUAUGAUAAUUAGUGUACCUUUUAGAUUCCCUUUAAAAUAUAUACCUUUUUUUUAA